rnacentral:rRNA from 1 species
CAGCAGCCGCGGUAAUACGAAGGGUGCAAGCGUUAAUCGGAAUUACUGGGCGUAAAGCGUGCGUAGGCGGUUUGUUAAGUCUGUUGUGAAAUCCCCGGGCUCAACCUGGGAAUGGCAAUGGAUACUGGCAAGCUAGAGUGUGUCAGAGGGUGGUGGAAUUCCCGGUGUAGCGGUGAAAUGCGUAGAGAUCGGGAGGAACAUCAGUGGCGAAGGCGGCCAUCUGGGACAACACUGACGCUGAGGCACGAAAGCGUGGGGAGCAAACAGGAUUAGAUACCCCUGUAGUCCCUGUCUCUUAUAA